AAAAUUCGAUUCAAUUUUAUUUGUAAAGCAAAGGACAUUGUCCAAAAGCAGCUUUACAGAAAAGCUAAUUAUAUAUUGUUAUUACAACUGCUGUCAAAAUUAGUACGCAAGCUAGCUAAAACAUUAAGGCAUCGAGGCUCCAGUGCAGAACCAUGAAGAAGCAAACCAUGUUGUGGCUGACCAACUACAUCUGGGGACGAGGCUAAUCGCCUGCCAGAAUCCAGUGGCAGCCUCAAAAAGAGCCACUUCAUGUCCAACAAUGGCUCAUUUGCCGACGUGAAAACAUCAUUACAACCAUGAAGAAAAGAAAAAACGGAGAAAAAAAUCCACAGCCAAGAUUACUCCCAGAAUGCACGAUGAUGAUGAUGAUGAUGAU
ensembl:lncRNA